rnacentral:lncRNA from 1 species
GCUCAGAGGGGCAUUUUCAUCAUUUUUCUUCGAAAAUACCGAAACCCGCCAAAAACAUGGUGUAAAAGCUAAAUAUGUUCAUACAUACUUUAAAUUAGAUAACUGAAGUAUAAAAUUACUUUUACAGUGACACGUGGGCCCCUAACUGACCAAGAUGCAUCGGAAGCUGAAAACUUACAGCUUUUGCCGAUUCAAGUUUAAAUGAAGGUCCUUGUCAAAGUCAGCUAACUAUUGAAUUCCCUAAGCCUGAAAUGUGAGGAAAUGAGGGUGGUGAGAUUAUAAAAUCCCAGUGAGUAAACAGACACUAUCUAAACCAUCUAAAGGCGAAUAAAUGGAGACGAAUUAAAAUAUUCUUUUCCAAUAUAUGUUUCAUAACAUGAAUAUUUAGUUUACUCAAUUAAUUAACAUGGCUUAUAUAUCUCAUAAAACUUGGCUCCUGCCAAAAUCAUUCUCGCGGGUACCUUCGUCAAGGUAUCCCACUAAGAUCGUCAAGGCUGUUAAAUAUCCCAUACUCAUAAACAUGUUUUCGCAUCUAACACACAGCCGUUCCUUGGCAUUGACUGAGUCUCACUCUCACGCGGUGGUCCACGUAAAGUGCACUCAAAUCUUUACCUUAGGAGAUACUUCAUCUAACAUCUCCCCCCAGAGGUAAAUAUAUAACUGAGUUACCGUGCCCCUCUCAUAGGCAGUCCACGGAAACCCCCACCACUGCAGUGACUAUGGAUUAUUUUAUCUACCACUUGAUUUAUAAAAUCCUUAUUUGCAUGACAUGACAAUUUAUCGCAAUCUAGCCUUUCAAGGCUGAAUACAUAGUAUAUAUAAUUUUGAUAUAAAUAUCGACUUUGCCAUUCAUGCUCACAUAUUGCUAUAAGCCAUAUAAUUUAAAACACAAUUUAUAACACAAGCAAGCAGUCUCCAAUUAUUUUAUUUUCAAAACCAGUAUUCAAUUUUUCAGAAAAUUUAUAAAAUCAUUUUAUAAAAUCACAAUUUUUCCUAAAACAUAACAAUUUACCAUUUAAAUCCAUUUUCUAUAAAAUCACACAAUUGUAUAAAACUACUCUAGAUAAUUAAGACGAUAAUAAGUUUACUCACAGUUCGAAGAGUUGAUGUACUCCUAAUCCCAGUCUUCAGGCAUAAUCUCUGUACUUUUACCAAUGUAAUUUACUCAUCACUUAUCCACAAUGUACAAUACAUAAUUCACCACAUUAAUGCUUGACCAUUAUAAAAUCAAUUCAAGCUCGGUGUAUAUGCAUGAUAUGAUAUGCAACUUAUCCGACUACCGCUUAAAUGAGGUGUUGACCUAAUUCGGCCUAUUACCCGAUUAAAUGACAAUUGUGUUCGAUUUGGCUCCAAAUUGCUCCAUUUCAUUUCUAAUACCUCAAUUCACCAAACAUUAUUCAAAUAUCACCAAUUUUCGCAUCAAAACCUUCCCAUUUCUUCAUAGAAAAAUUCGGCCAUUACAGUGCACUAACACCGUGAUUUUUUUUACUUAAUUUUCUCACCAUUAUUCAUCAUUUUCUAAGCCAUUUCUCUUGAAAUAAUAACAAUCCAUCACCCACACACAUCAAGGAAGAUUCGGCCAAUGAAGAUUCAUGGGGAAAAUGGAUUAUUUUCUUGUUGUUUUGCUUCUAAAUAUGCUAAACUAACUAAAAACACUAACAAAUCUUAAAAUCAAUUCAAUCCAACAUCUUUCUCUCUCCUUAUCCAUUUUGACCAUACAUGAAUUCAUCAUGAAAACAUGUAAUUUAACCAUGGAAAUUAAGAAAAAAUGCAUGGGUAAGGUAAAUCACUAGCAAAAUCAAAGAAAUUUUACCUUUGCUUGAUCAAAUCCUUGAAUUCCAACACUUUCUCUUUGAUUUUUCCCACCUAGGGUUUGUUCUUCCUUGGUUUCUCUUCUCUUCUGAUUUGGC